rnacentral:rRNA from 1 species
CCUACGGGUGGCUGCAGUGAGGAAUAUUGGUCAAUGGACGAGAGUCUGAACCAGCCACGUCGCGUGAAUGAUGACUGCCCUAUGGGUUGUAAACUUCUUUUAUAUGGGAAUAAAAUGUUCCACGUGUGGGAUUUUGUAUGUACCAUAUGGAUAAGGAUCGGCUAACUCCGUGCCAGCAGCCGCGGUAAUCCGGAGGUUCCGAGAGUUAUCCGGAUUUAUUGGGUUUAAAGGGAGCGUAGGUGGAUGGGUAAGUCAGUUGGGAAAGUUUGCGGCUCAACCGUAAAAUUGCAGUUGAAACUGGCAGGCUUGAGUGCAGUAGAGGUGGGCGGAAUUCGUGGUGUAGCGGUGAAAUGCUUAGAUAUUAGGAAGAACACCGAUUGCGAAGGCAGCUCACUGGACUGCAACUGACGCUGAGGCUCGAAAGUGUGGGUAUCAAACAGGAUUAGAUACCCUUGUAGUC